rnacentral:rRNA from 1 species
CCUACGGGAGGCAGCAGUGAGGAAUAUUGCUCAAUGGACGAAAGUCUGAAGCAGCAACGCCGCGUGAGGGAUGAAGGUGCUCUGCAUUGUAAACCUCUGUAGCCGGGGACAAAAAAUAGGUUAUUACCUAUCUGAUGGUACCCGAAAAGUAAGGAUCGGCUAACUACGUGCCAGCAGCCGCGGUAAUACGUAGGAUCCAAGCGUUGUCCGGAUUUACUGGGUGUAAAGGGUGCGCAGGCGGACUUGUUAGUCAGUGGUGAAAUCUCACAGCCCAACUGUGAAACUGCCUUUGAUACUGCAAGUCUUGAAUCCAGAAGAGAGUUGUGGAAUUCCGAGUGUAGCAGUGAAAUGUGUAGAUAUUCGGAAGAACACCAGCGGCGAAGGCAGCAACUUGGUCUGGUAUUGACGCUCAGGCACGAAAGCAUGGGGAUCAAACAGGACUAGAUACCCUGGUAGUCCAUGCCCUAAACGAUGAUCACUUGAUGUCGGCCCUCAGGGUCGGUGUCGAAGCUAACGCGUUAAGUGAUCCACCUGGGGAGUACGCUCGCAAGGGUGAAACUCAAAGGAAUUGACGG